GGCCAGACUCCUACGGGAGGCAGCAGUGGGGAAUAUUGGGCAAUGGAGGAAACUCUUACCCAGCAAUGCCGCGUGAAUGAAGAAGGUCUUCGGAUUGUAAAGUUCUUUAAUUGGGGACGAAAAAAUGACGGUACCCAAGGAAGAAGCCCCGGCUAACUACGUGCCAGCAGCCGCGGUAAUACGUAGGGGGCAAGCGUUAUCCGGAUUUACUGGGUGUAAAGGGAGCGUAGACGGCGAUGCAAGUCUGAAGUGAAAGGCGGGGGCCCAACCCCCGGACUGCUUUGGAAACUGUAUAGCUGGAGUGCAGGAGAGGUAAGUGGAAUUCCUAGUGUAGCGGUGAAAUGCGUAGAUAUUAGGAGGAACACCAGUGGCGAAGGCGGCUUACUGGACUGUAACUGACGUUGAGGCUCGAAAGCGUGGGGAGCAAACAGGAUUAGAUACCCUGGUA
rnacentral:rRNA from 1 species